UACGUAGGGUGCAAGCGUUGUCCGGAAUUAUUGGGCGUAAAGAGCUCGUAGGCGGUCUGUCACGUCGGCUGUGAAUCCCGAGGCUCAACCUCGGGUCUGCAGUCGAUACGGGCAAACUAGAGUAUUGCAGGGGAGACUGGAAUUCCUGGUGUAGCGGUGAAAUGCGCAGAUAUCAGGAGGAACACCGGUGGCGAAGGCGGGUCUCUGGGACGGUACUGACGCUGAGGCGCGAAAGCGUGGGGAGCAAACAGG
rnacentral:rRNA from 1 species